GACGAACGCUGGCGGCGUGCUUAACACAUGCAAGUCGAACGAUGAAGAAGAGAAACGCGAACUUCGGUUCAAAUUUCACUUCGGAUUAGUGGCAGACGGGUGAGUAACGCGUGAGCAACCUACCUCUUACAAAGGGAUAGCCUCGGGAAACCGUGAUUAAUACCAUAUGACACAUUCAUAAGGCAUCUUAAGAAUGUUAAAGCUACGGCGGUAAGAGAUGGGCUCGCGUCCCAUUAGCUAGUUGGUGAGGUAACGGCCCACCAAGGCGACGAUGGGUAACCCGCCUGAGAGGGUGAACGGUCACAUUGGAACUGAGACACGGUCCAAACUCCUACGGGAGGCAGCAGUGGGGAAUAUUGCACAAUGGAGGGAACUCUGAUGCAGCGACGCCGCGUGAGCGAUGAAGGAAUUCGUUUCGUAAAGCUCUGUUCUAUGGGAAGAAAAGGACUGUACCAUAGGAGAAAGCCCCGGCUAAAUACGUG
rnacentral:rRNA from 1 species